rnacentral:rRNA from 1 species
AAAUUGAAGAGUUUGAUCAUGGCUCAGAUUGAACGCUGGCGGCAGGCCUAACACAUGCAAGUCGAACGGUAACAGGAAGCAGCUUGCUGCUUUGCUGACGAGUGGCGGACGGGUGAGUAAUGUCUGGGAAACUGCCUGAUGGAGGGGGAUAACUACUGGAAACGGUGGCUAAUACCGCAUAACGUCGCAAGACCAAAGAGGGGGACCUUCGGGCCUCUUGCCAUCAGAUGUGCCCAGAUGGGAUUAGCUUGUUGGUGAGGUAACGGCUCACCAAGGCGACGAUCCCUAGCUGGUCUGAGAGGAUGACCAGCCACACUGGAACUGAGACACGGUCCAGACUCCUACGGGAGGCAGCAGUGGGGAAUAUUGCACAAUGGGCGCAAGCCUGAUGCAGCCAUGCCGCGUGUAUGAAGAAGGCCUUCGGGUUGUAAAGUACUUUCAGCGGGGAGGAAGGUGUUGUGGUUAAUAACCGCAGCAAUUGACGUUACCCGCAGAAGAAGCACCGGCUAACUCCGUGCCAGCAGCCGCGGUAAUACGGAGGGUGCAAGCGUUAAUCGGAAUUACUGGGCGUAAAGCGCACGCAGGCGGUCUGUCAAGUCGGAUGUGAAAUCCCCGGGCUCAACCUGGGAACUGCAUUCGAAACUGGCAGGCUUGAGUCUUGUAGAGGGGGGUAGAAUUCCAGGUGUAGCGGUGAAAUGCGUAGAGAUCUGGAGGAAUACCGGUGGCGAAGGCGGCCCCCUGGACAAAGACUGACGCUCAGGUGCGAAAGCGUGGGGAGCAAACAGGAUUAGAUACCCUGGUAGUCCACGCCGUAAACGAUGUCUACUUGGAGGUUGUGCCCUUGAGGCGUGGCUUCCGGAGCUAACGCGUUAAGUAGACCGCCUGGGAGUACGGCCGCAAGGUUAAAACUCAAAUGAAUUGACGGGGCCCGCACAAGCGGUGGAGCAUGUGGUUUAAUUCGAUGCAACGCGAAGAACCUUACCGGGUCUUGACAUCCACAGAAGAAUCCAGAGAUGGAUUUGUGCCUUCGGGAACUGUGAGACAGGUGCUGCAUGGCUGUCGUCAGCUCGUGUUGUGAAAUGUUGGGUUAAGUCCCGCAACGAGCGCAACCCUUAUCCUUUGUUGCCAGCGGUUAGGCCGGGAACUCAAAGGAGACUGCCAGUGAUAAACUGGAGGAAGGUGGGGAUGACGUCAAGUCAUCAUGGCCCUUACGACCAGGGCUACACACGUGCUACAAUGGCGCAUACAAAGAGAAGCGACCUCGCGAGAGCAAGCGGACCUCAUAAAGUGCGUCGUAGUCCGGAUUGGAGUCUGCAACUCGACUCCAUGAAGUCGGAAUCGCUAGUAAUCGUGGAUCAGAAUGCCACGGUGAAUACGUUCCCGGGCCUUGUACACACCGCCCGUCACACCAUGGGAGUGGGUUGCAAAAGAAGUAGGUAGCUUAACCUUCGGGAGGGCGCUUACCACUUUGUGAUUCAUGACUGGGGUGAAGUCGUAACAAGGUAACCGUAGGGGAACCUGCGGUUGGAUCACCUCCUUACCUUAAAGAAGC